rnacentral:rRNA from 1 species
CGAGGACGACGCUGGCGGCGUGCUUAACACAUGCAAGUCGAACGGUAAGGCCCUUCGGGGUACACGAGUGGCGAACGGGUGAGUAACACGUGGGUGAUCUGCCCUGCACUUCGGGAUAAGCCUGGGAAACUGGGUCUAAUACCGGAUAGGACCAUGGACUUCACGGUUUGUGGUGGAAAGCUUUUGCGGUGUGGGAUGGGCCCGCGGCCUAUCAGCUUGUUGGUGGGGUAAUGGCCUACCAAGGCGACGACGGGUAGCCGGCCUGAGAGGGUGUCCGGCCACACUGGGACUGAGAUACGGCCCAGACUCCUACGGGAGGCAGCAGUGGGGAAUAUUGCACAAUGGGCGCAAGUCUGAUGCAGCGACGCCGCGUGAGGGAUGACGGCCUUCGGGUUGUAGACCUCUUUCAAUAGGGACGAAGCGCAAGUGACGGUACCUAUAGAAGAAGCACCGGCCAACUACGUG